ACAUUAAUCCAGUCUUCUUGACCAUCAUUUCUUGUGUGGCUGUGCUACAGGGAGCGGCGGGAGAAAUGGCCACGUGAGUGUCAUGGUGCAGAGGAACAUCAGAGCUCUCAGAAGUGUGCCAGGCAGCUCCCAGGGCAAUGGUUCACAAUGCACCCUUGUGGCUGCUUUCUGCUCCAGGCAUUUUAAUCAUCUGCUGCAGAGGACCAGGUGAGCUAUGGGGAAAGCUGCUGAGGCUGCCGCUGAAGCUGAACGCUUCAUACAGUGGAUAUUUUCUUCUCUCUGGCAUCUGGAUCAUGUUUGGUGCAGUUGUAGGACCCUUUGAAGCCCAGUGUUUUAUUUUUCUAACACUUGGAAAAACCAGACCCUGAAGGACAGACAACAAGCAAACUAAAUCAAAACAUGUUUUCCCCAAAUACACAUAAACUUCCCUUUCCAGUAAAAAAAAAUGCCCUGAGGACAUUGGAUCUCAGCACUAAGUCCAAGCCUUUGGUAACAGCCUGCAUAGAACAAACAAGGAACGAAAAAAAGAAAGAAAGACAAACAAACAAACAAGCAAACCCUGCUGUACUGCCAAGGUUAGCCACAUGCUUCUGGUGCCUUUGUUCUUUGGAAGGAAUGCUGGGGUCACCAUAAUGAUCCAUGUCCCUGUGAUAUUUCAUGAGGAGAACAGGGAUUCUUGCUCUUGAUCUUUCUUGAGCGGACUGAGUGCUACCCAGCUUGCUGUCUUUACAGCUGAACAGGUACAAAUCCUACACAAGCUGGGUCUUCUCUCUUUUUGUCUAAACAAGGGUGGAGGGUGCUUUCUGAGUUGGGGUUCAUUAUUAUAGCAGCUAAUAUGAAAACAAAGCUGUGCUUUCCCUUUUUCAAAGCACACACUGCAGGCCUCUUUAACUCUCCCUGCUACUUUUAUUCUAAGGAAAUACUGGUAUCCUCACAAAAUCUGACCAUGAUGCUGUCAAUUUACACAUAAAAAGGGCAAGUACUGAUCUUAGGUGCCCUAUAAAUAACGGUUACAGCUAUGCUUUAGGCCUGGGUGGUAUUUUCUCUUACUUUAUUUUCAUAAAUGAGUUAACACAGUGCUGACAGUGGUGACCAGACAAUGCACGAAGAUGCCCUGAGUUUCACUGUGCAUCCAUAGCCUGCCCAGGGGAGCUCCCUUCUGUCUGAAUGCAAAAAAAGCCCUGAAAAAGCACUCAUAAAGACUACACUUGAAGAGGCAGAAGAGAUGUCCAAGAUCUGCUUUUAUUUUGGAAAGAUCCAGGUGCUUGGUUAAAGGCUCAGCAUCUGGUAUUUCAAAAGCCUCAGAAGAAUCCUGACCUAUCCACGAUGUAGAGUGAAAGAGAGAAGAAGAAAGGUUUCCAGGAAGCGACUUCAUUUUUCCUUUAUGCCAGGAAGAUAUCUUGGUACAAUAGCUUCUACAGGGUUAUUGGAAAAGGUCCUCUGAAGAGGUGAGUUGGAUGGCAGUGUCGUGGGAGGAGACACUGAGCUGGCGUCUUGUUCCUGGGACUUUACAGAAUGUAGCAACAAUUGCACAGAGAUACUCAGUGGCAUUUGACACGAGUUCUCAUCACUCCUCAGAGACUCACAGAUCUGCCUGGGAUACCUGGGCUCACAUAUCUCUCUGGUGGAUGAAAUAAGUCUACUGUAGCUGGAUAAGUAUUGCACAGAUUCAGUUUUCCAGUCAGGAACAUUCAUAGUGCUGAGACAUUGUGGAGUGUUUCAUAUGUGAUAACAACACACAGACCUUAUAACAGCCCUUAUGCAACAAUGCCAGCCCUGCGAGCAAGAACUGUGGACAGUUAGCUGAAAAUCAGAGCCAUGAUGCAAAGUGGGAUAAAGAUAGGAAAGCCCAUUUCAUAGAGGACAGGAAUGAAAGCCUGUAAGUUGACUGUCAAAGGGAAUCAAGCUCCUGCUCCAGUGUGGUAUGAUAUGGAGUUGCGGUACAGCACGCGGCGUAGCUGGGCACUCUUGGAGCGCUGGCGGUCAUAGCCACCUGGCAGAAUUUAGUAUGUAUGCUAAAUUGCCAGCAGUUUGGAUAAGAUUCCAGCUGGAUGAAAUAUGUCAAUCCGAUGAAUAGACAAGGAAAGAUUAAGACUGCUUCAGUCUCACCUGUCCCUUCCUAUUGGCUCUCCUCAUCUAAACCAGGGAAACUCAGAUCCUUCCGGGAGAUGACUGUUACCAAAUGACAGCAUUUGUAAGGAGAAGGAGCAGCUGCAUUGUGUGGAGGAGGAACAUUCCAGGAAUCUUUCAUAUUGCUUUUAACAAGUGCCAUCUAUCUCAAAAGAGAUGACUGUGUAUUACCAUCCCAUAUUCAAGCUCUGUGGGAGGUUACCUUGGGCCAUGGAAUGUCAGCCAUAGUGCUGUCAGCAACCUAGCAUAGCGAGAGCGUCUACAGAAACAGAACUUAGGCUGCAAAGCUGUCACAGCAAAGACUUUGGGUGGGCAGAAAUGAUUCUUGUUUAACCCAAGGUCAAAAAACAAAGGAUUUGAGGUGGAGAAGAUGGAUCAAUCAUCUAUGUAAAUCAAACCAAAGGUGAAUGUCAAUAAAUCACUCUAUCCGCAAAGGGGGAGGGAAAGAAGAGAAGCACAGCCAUCUGCAAAGCCAAGUGCAAGGAUGGACCGAGGAUGAUUCACCCUGCUUUUAUCCACAGCCUGUAUUCACUCGGUAGAACAGAUAUUGUGUUCCACCCCAGUCAGAAGGAGACAACUUAUGCAAAACAGGUCUUCUGCAAGGACCAACUAACGGAUCUUAUCAAGCACAGAAAUUUUGGCUCCAGUAACAAGUACAGGAUCAAUAUGGAGAAUUGCGCUGAUUACAGGAAGGGUUUGUGGAUGAACUGCAGAACUCCAGCCCUAAAACCAGCUGAAACAGACAUUUUCUGGUGCUUCUAGAAAGUGGGAAACCGGUGAAGGAUUUGCAGAUGAGGUUAUGGCUUUCCAGAGAAAAGUUGGAAGUGGAAAUCACAGAAAUUUCAAAUCAUGGAAUCAUAGAAAUUUCGAAACCUUGUGAUACACCACUGAUGAAACCUGAAAUCUGUCAUUGGUAUCUCUGGUACCCAGUUUAGGAGAACAUAAAAAGAUUUUUGUUUAAAUGGAAUUAACAAAGAAAUCUAAGACACCUCAGCUUGGGAUUUCAAAGCCUGGAUUCAACUCAGAUGAACUUUUAAAGAUCCGUUCAUAAUGCCUUGAAGCAUUUGUGUAUGAGGAAUGAUUUUUUUUUCCCACAGCCCUUCCAAAAAUAAGAAAGAGUCGCUUCUGCCACAUUAUGUGUUGUAUUUCACAACAGGCUCAUCCAGCAGAAUCAGGGAAGAUCAUCAUUGGAACAAGACUGCAAAGAUAUCGAUGUAUACAUGUGCAAGAUCCACAGAAGAUAGAAUGGUCUGUAUGGAACACGCAGGAUUUCAUCAUGUACACCUCGGACGAACAGAUACGUCUUUGCCCCAUUGUCACGUUAUCUUAGGAGGAAUUAAAGGGCUGAAUGAUUGAGAUUAUUAACUACCCUUUUGUUUUCUUCAUGGCCACUUUACUGAAUGAUUAACCUGAUCAAAACCUGCCAAAGAUAAGGAGAGACAUACCUUUUCUUUUUAGACUUCCUCUGACCUUGCCCUUCCCUUACAAGGCCAGUUUGUAGAGUGAUGGUAUGUCUAACUAAACAAAAGAAAAGAGCUAUGCUUUUGCAGAUAGACACCCUCUUCAGACAAUCAAAGAAAUCUUUUAUUUAUAUUGAUGAAGAACUGGAUUGCUGUGGAAAAAAAAUCACUUGCCUUGAACAUCUUGAUUUAUGAUCAGAUCCUUACUGAGCUUAGGAAAUUCAUCAAGUGAGACAAAAUUUACUGGGGUGCACUGUAUGUGAAAGAGAUCUUGCACAGGGACCGACAGAGUUGACUGGAUUUUAUGAAAAUGCACAUACUGAGCUAUCAUCUAAUCUGAUUAAUUAACACUUGUUUAUGUUCUGUUUCUUGCAGCCUUUUUUCAACACCCCAGAACUGAUUCUAAUAAAAUCCCUUUGCGAGUUCUUUUUCCACACACUUAACUCAUGAUUGCAAAAAUCAUUACCACUUUUGAUUAUAAUCUUUAAUUAGCGAGAAAAUAUAUGUGUUGAAUUAUUUAACCAGUGUUCAUUUGCAUCAUCAUGUUUUGACAGCUUUUGCAUUAAUAAAUCUUUUGUAGACUCAAAGACCCUCAAUAGCCUUGGAUGGAGCUCUUUCAGGACUUCCAUUAAACACUUUGCUUUCUGAGGACCUUAAAGCACAAUGCUCACCCAGGACUUUUCAUCCAGGUAUGGGUUUUCUGGUCACUAGCCUGUCCCUUCUGCUCAUAUUAUAGCUUAACGAAUCUUUAAGAGGUUUCCUUCUCAGUUGAAGGAGUUCAAAAGGAGAGGAGGAGAUAACACCUAUGCACAGCCUCUCAUGGGAGAGUGGUUGGGUGCUUUGAGGACAAAUUUAUCACUUGUCUGCUGCAUGACCUUCUGGAUUUGUAUUACAGCUGCUCAAUUGUGCUUUUUUUUUAAUGGAGGAAAACUUGGCGUAUAGCUUAUUCUUUCUGAUGUUCUCAAAGGAGCCUUUACCUGCCUCAUAGAAAUGCCUCAGGUCUUCUAUGCUUGAUCUAGCUUUUCUUGUGUCUUAUAUCUACAUUUUUGAUGAGAAAGUAAUAUGGCUCAAAGUAUUCUCAGAAACGACAACAUUCCUGCAAGGCCAAGGCAGCAGAAGUUAAGGGUGUCUUGUAGGUUGAUAAAGCAAAGCUUUUGCUUGUACAAAGCAAAACUGUACCCUGCAAUGAGCUUCAGAUGGGAGAAUACCUGGAUUCCUACACAAAACCACAUUAGACCCAGUGCGGGUCUCUGCCUGUGGAAUACGUUGUCAAGUUGUAAUGUAAAAAUGGGU